rnacentral:lncRNA from 1 species
CGGGCACUGCAUGCGGUACCCCCUCUCCACCUGCUCCAGCACCUCCCUGUUGUUCAUCCCUGGGUAGGGCACCCGGCCUUUGGUCACCAGCUCGGUCAGCAGGAUGCCGAAGGACCACACGUCUGACUUGAUGGUGAACUUCCCAAACAGGGCUGCCUCCGGGGCUGUCCACUUAAUGGGGAAUUUGGCACCCUGGCGCGCCGUGUACUCGUUGUCCUCGAUGAGGCGGGCGAGCCCAAAGUCGGCGAUCUUGCACACCAGGUUGUCACCCACCAGGAUGUUGGCAGCACGCAGGUCCCGGUGGAUGUAGUUCAUC